CCCUAGUAACGGCGAGUGAAGCGGCAACAGCUCAAAUUUGAAAUCUGGCGUCUUUGGCGUCCGAGUUGUAAUUUGCAGAGGGCGCUUUGGCAUUGGCAGCGGUCCAAGUUCCUUGGAACAGGACGUCACAGAGGGUGAGAAUCCCGUACGUGGUCGCUAGCCUUUACCGUGUAAAGCCCCUUCGACGAGUCGAGUUGUUUGGGAAUGCAGCUCUAAAUGGGAGGUAAAUUUCUUCUAAAGCUAAAUACUGGCCAGAGACCGAUAGCGCACAAGUAGAGUGAUCGAAAGAUGAAAAGCACUUUGGAAAGAGAGUUAAAAAGCACGUGAAAUUGUUGAAAGGGAAGCGCUUGCAGCCAGACUUGCCUGUAGUUGCUCAUCCGGGUUUCUACCCGGUGCACUCUUCUAUAGGCAGGCCAGCAUCAGUUUGGGCGGUUGGAUAAAGGUCUCUGUCAUGUACCUCUCUUCGGGGAGAACUUAUAGGGGAGACGACAUGCAACCAGCCUGGACUGAGGUCCGCGCAUCUGCUAGGAUGCUGGCGUAAUGGCUGUAAGCGGCCCGUCUUGAAACACGGACCAAGGAGUCUAACAUCUAUGCGAGUGUUUGGGUGUCAAGCCCGAGCGCGUAAUGAAAGUGAACGGAGGUGGGAACCUUUCGGGGUGCACCAUCGACCGAUCCUGAUGUCUUCGGAUGGAUUUGAGUAAGAGCAUAGCUGUUGGGACCCGAAAGAUGGUGAACUAUGCUUGAAUAGGGUGAAGCCAGAGGAAACUCUGGUGGAGGCUCGCAGCGGUUCUGACGUGCAAAUCGAUCGUCAAAUUUGGGCAUAGGGGCGAAAGACUAAUCGAACUAUCUAGUAGCUGGUUCCUGCCGAAGUUUCCCUCAGGAUAGCAGUAACGUUUUCAGUUUUAUGAGGUAAAGCGAAUGAUUAGAGGCCUGGGGGUUGAAACAACCUU
rnacentral:rRNA from 3 species